UUGCAUGUGGAAAUGUCUGCUCCUCAUUCCUUUGGAAGCAGGAAUACAUCCAUAACGUGCUACAUUAAAAAAGGAGUUCUCAGGGCUGCCAGCCUUACACUAGAGGUUGAAUAGUAGUAUAUUUCUCCUACAUUU